AAGUAUGUACACACACGUACAUGUGUGUAUAGAGAUAGCCUUUGCCUUGCAUUCGUCUCUGACUCCUUCAUCUCAGUUCUUGGCCUUUAGUGCUUCUGGUGACUUGGCCGCCGUCCAAUGCCUUUGAAAGCAACUGCAAUCAAUCAUAAACGAGCUUUUUACUGCGGCCCUUUGGCUCGGACAUUUACGAUGAACGUUACACAUGAGCGGCCAUUGCCAGCGAUGCAGUCCUUGCUCUGGCUGAGGCCACAAACUAGUCCGGAGUCCUACGUCCGGUUAUUUUGCAAGUUUCGUACACAUGGGACUGAUUAGUGCCAGAGCUGCCGAGCUUGGACUUGCAAUAGUCGCGGCCAUAUAUCAAAAUUCGGUUUAUGGGACGCUCUAGCAACAGGCUGCGCGCUUCGCCUGGCCACAAUUUAUCAUUUUAUCUGGCACUAUGCCGCUAACCCGGUCGUCUAUAUAUCAAUAAUCGCAAUCUAACGGAUGGCUGCAAUUUUACAUUCAAGCUAGAGGUGUAAAAAGAAAUACAAUGUGGCAAACGCAUCAAAACAUAUCGAAAAUAUGCAACAUAUAAUUCUGGAAAAUUAACAAAUGCUCGUAUAUAAGUAAAUAUAUAAGAUCAUGGCUAUAAAUAUUUCAAAAGUCGUAUAGGAAAACAUGGGAGUCUGUAAUUCAAUAAAUCCAAUUUCUAAUAAAAUUUACCAUGUUAUGAUCAGA